GUCCCUGUAGCUCAGCAGGAUAGAGCAACGGACUUCUAAUCCGUAGGUCGGGGGUUCGAAUCCCUCCAGGGACGCCA
rnacentral:tRNA from 2 species